UUUUCUUGGAAGUGAAGUAAGGUGGGAGAAGAAUAUUUCUUCGCACAUAAGAUUGGUGAAGCCCGAGACCUAAGUUAUGGUUAACUUGAGAAGCGACAAGGUACAGAUACUCGAUUUGGUGAUCCUCCAGCUUAGGACUUCUACUCAGCUGUCUUGGAGUGCUCCGUUGUUCCGGAGCCUAGACUUUUGGCACAGAUCUUUUGAUAUAUGUAUAUGUUUAUCCAGGGGUACGGCGGGGCCCUGUCCCGUCAUAUGUCAUUGUUGAUACUCUUAGAGGUCUGUAGACAUAUGUGUGGGUUGUAUAUAGAUGUUGUUCAGCUGUGUCUAUAUGACUUAUUUUGGGACGUUCCCGUAUGUAGUGGCAGCCUUGUCGGCUU